rnacentral:lncRNA from 10 species
CUCUGGGUAGAGGGGAAGAACUCUCUGGAAGGAGUCUUAUGACUUCCUUUCAGGGGAGAUAGGUCAAAUAAUUCUUUUAUGACCAUGCUUCAGAGAAGAAAGAAGAAGGUCAGAGAAGGAAAAAGAGAAGAUAAAGAAACUGAGGCUCAAUGAACUUGUAACGCUUUAGUGUCAGAGCUCUAGAAUGGGUGAAGGCCAGAUUCAGACCCAGGCAUCGUGACUCCCAAGUCUGCUUGUGGAUCCUUGAAAGCAAGGGUGAGCCAUAAGCAUUGCACCUUUGAGAGAACUGGUCAAGGCUCAAUUGGAAUAAUCUGGAGAAGCUUUUCUACAAUGUCUACACUCCAGGGCCCACACCUGCCAAUGAAAUCUGUACCUUAAACCUGAAGAGGACCAGGUAUCAAUAUUCUUUGAAAAGCAGCCCAGAUGAUGCAGCUAGGUAGGUGUGGGAUUAACAGCACAGCCGGGAAGUUUCAAAUUGGAAGCACUUCAGAAACUGUCAUAUGCGAGAAAGAUGGUAUCUCAUUCAGACCGACCACCAUUUCCCAAAGAUUUCUCCCAGAUCACUACUUCCUCAAGAUGCCCAGAGAACAUAAUUCUGUGACCAAAUGCGUAUGAGAAAUGCUGCCAACUGCUGACUCCUAUCUUUGAGACUUAUCUACGUAGUGCUUUUAGUGCUUUUUUGUUAUGACCUUGGCUCACUGCAGCUUCACCCUCCUGGGCUCAAGCGAUCCUUCCACCUCAGCCCUUCAAGUAUCUGGGACUACAGACACCUGCCACCAUGUCUAGCUAAUUUUUGUAUUGUUUGUAGAGAUGGAGUUUCACCAUGUUGCCCAGGCUGGUCCUGGUCUGAAACUCCUGAACUCGAGUGAUUCUCCAGCCUCAGCCUCCCAAAGUGCUGAGAUGACAGGUGUGAGCCACUGUGUCUGGUCUGUAGUGCAUCUUAAUGUCUCUGAGAAAACCUGUGACCAAGAAAACUAUUACCUCGGCUUAAUCCAGUAAUUUUCCAGGAAAGCUGCUUUUUUAUUUCAUAGCACCUAACACCCUGUGGACCUCCAGAAAUGGUGAUUCACGAUGAGGAGGAAGAGUACUGAGCCCUGUCAAGGGCAGCAUUGGGUGAGGAGCCUCUCAAUUACAUGUUAGGAAGUGAAGACACCCAGACCUCGGAUUCCAAUUUUGAUGCUUCAGUUUUAAAAUGGUGGGGGGUGAGGGGCUGAUGGAGAAGAGUCUUUAUGGACACAAAUGGACCAGGGUGCUUUGACCUUUUGUUCUGUGGUCUCCUCACUUAUUAGGUCACAUAACCUUCAGUGGGCUACAUAAACCUCUUUUCUCAUCUUUAGCAGAACAAAAAUCUGUGGUCUGGGCUUAGGGGCCAGUUGGACUGGGCUUUGGUCAUUGAUUCGCGCUGGUCUUUGAAAUGUGAGUGGAAGGGACAGACAGGUGUUGAGUCCAAGCAGAAGCCUUCGAUGUUCUUGUGUGGCUUGGCUCUGCCUCUGUGCUUCUCCCUCCUCCUUGAGAACAAUAUGCCCCACAUGGGAGCUGCUCCUUUAGCCAGGCCUCCAGGACCAGAGGACAAAUGGGGCUGAGCACAACCAAGCCCAGCUGAGCCAGGUCAGGGUUCAAUGUAGCCUGAACAUGAAAUAAAUGUUUAUAAUUUUAAACCAGGAAAAUUUUGGUAUAGUUUAUUAUAACAAACUGCAAUCUAUAAACCUGAUUUGGGUCUGAUUUAAAGAAACCAAACAACCUCUAAAAAUUAGGAGGUAAACAGGAAAACUUGUACACUGACGUUAAGAAAUUGAUGUCAUUUUUUUUUACAAGAUGUUAUAGGACUGUUUCACUUGUGUUUAGGUAAAGAAUCCUUAUCUUCAGUGAUCCACGCUGAAAUACUUAUGCAUGAAACGGUAUAAUGGAAGGACAGGAAAGUGGGCAGAGUCAUAAAUGAAGUAAGAAUGUCCAGGUGUUGAUAAUUAUUGAAGCUGGGUAACGGAUAAUUGGGGGUUUACCAUAUUAUUCAACUUUUGUUUAUGUUCAAAAUUUUCUCUGAUUAAAAAGCUAGAAAAUCAACAUUCACACAAACUCUUCUCCAUAGGUUGAAAAUAGGUGGAGUAUCUUGUUAGGAUUAUUAUAAUCUUUUAAUUUUAUAGCACUGCCAAUGAGCCAUCCCUGCCAUAAAAGAGUCAGCCAGAGAUAACUGGUGACUUCCACCACGUAAUUAUUAUCACCGUUUAUUUCAGUGGAAACUGCUGCCUGUUUGGAUUUGGAGAACACUAAGAAAGAGAAAUGAAGAUCUGGAGAAUUCAAAGGAUAAUUAUCCCUUUUGAAUAUUGACACACUUACAUGUUUUUCCAGACGUAGAUUUUGUGUAGGCGAAAGCUAUUUGAUUAUAAAAGAUCCGGUUUCU